GUGCUUGCUUUGGCAGCACAUAUACUGAAAUUGGAACAAUACAGAGAAGAUUAGCAUGGCCCCCGCGCAAGGAUGAGACACAAAUUUGUGAAGAGUUGCAUAUUCUU